UGUCAAAUAUAUCUCUUGAUAAAAUGAAUGAAGACUUACUUAUUGAGGGUGCAGAAAAAUCGGUACUAAGCAGCACACAGAAGGCCGAUCUAGAAUUACAAAAGAAGAGAGAAGAAGACUUAUCUAACUUAACAAAAAUGUUUUUGGAGGAGAUUAAGGAAGCAUUCUUUAC